rnacentral:rRNA from 1 species
AGUUGCCAUCAUUCAGUUGGGCACUCUAGAGGGACUGCCGGUGUCAAACCGGAGGAAGGUGGGGAUGACGUCAAGUCCUCAUGGCCUUUAUGCCCAGGGCUACACACGUGCUACAAUGGGCGGUACAAAGAGCAGCGAGCUCGCGAGAGUAAGCAAAUCUCAAAAAGCCGUCCUCAGUUCGGAUUGGAGUCUGCAACUCGACUCCAUGAAGUUGGAAUCGCUAGUAAUCGCGGAUCAGCAUGCCGCGGUGAAUACGUUCCCGGGCCUU